CGCGCAGGCGGUCGAUCAAGUCGAGUGUGAGAGCCCCCGGCUCAACUGGGGAGGGUCAUUCGAUACUGAUCGACUCGAAGGCAGGAGAGGGUAGUGGAAUUCCCGGUGUAGUGGUGAAAUGCGUAGAUAUCGGGAGGAACACCAGUGGCGAAGGCGACUACCUGGCCUGUUCUUGACGCUGAGGCGCGAAAGCUAGGGAGCAAACG
rnacentral:rRNA from 1 species